CAAACUCUCGAAAUUGGUUUUGAACUAAAAACAUCAGUUCAUAAUCAACAGGCCCAUGCAUUUAGAUAAAAAAAAAAACUACAAAUUCUAGAUCUAGACUAUAAAAUAAGCUAUCUCCGAUUAUUUUUACAAACUUUUUAAUUUUUCUGUGUUUUAAACUUCAAGUUUUUUUUUUUAAUUUUAUACAUAUGUAUAAUGUUAAUACUUAAAUAAUUUAAGCUACGUAGAAACCCUUCACCAUUUUCGAAAAAUAUAUGGGUGUGAAUUAUCCCUCGAAGCCAGAUUUAAAAUAAAUUUAAAAAUAUGGACGAUGAAAUGAACACUUCAUUCCUAAAAAAUCAUGGAGUUGCAUUUUUAACAUUAUUCAUUUGCCUUUUGAAUAUUAAAAAAAUAAUUUCAAUAGUACAAUAUUGUCAAAAUACUAAUCUAUGGUUGAGAGGAUGGAUUAAGGGAUCUGAGAUUAGGUACCCAAUCGAUGUUUCGUUUAAUGAUUUAAGAAUAGAAAUCCAGCAGCUAUCGAAGCAAAUGGUUGAAUUUCAAAAACGAUCAAAAUUAAAUUUUUCAACAAUGGAAAAUAGUGCAAGUGGUUUUUGUCACAAUUGCCGUCAAAAGGAAUCCGUAUCUCACUACAAUAUAACGUCACAUAUAAUUCCUCAAAAUGAAGCCGAUAAAGAAAUAAGUGAAUGCAACUGGAAAUGUUAUUUAAAUAAAUACGUUUUCGAUCCGGAUCCAAAGAUUGUAGAUACCAGUGAACUAGAAAAUAUGAAACGAUGUUAUUCAAAUUGGUUUUGAGUCAUUAUAAUUGAAUCCAGAAGCAAAAUUGUAACGUACUGUACCCGUAGUAAAAAAAAUUUUAAAACCGUUAUUUUGAUAAAUAAAUUUUAUUAUAUUUUCUAAAUAAAAGUCAUGGCAAAUUUUUUAUAAGAUUU